AUUUAAAUAGCUUAAAUUAAAGAGCGUAAUAUUGAAGAUAUUAAGGAGAUUUUUUAAUCUUUAAAUA
rnacentral:tRNA from 1 species